rnacentral:rRNA from 1 species
GACGAACGCUGGCGGCGUGCCUAAUACAUGCAAGUCGAGCGGACCACUUCGGUGGUCAGCGGCGGACGGGUGAGUAACACGUGGGCAACCUGCCUGUAAGACGGGGAUAACACCGGGAAACCGGUGCUAAUACCGGAUAAUCCUUUUCUUCACAUGAAGGAAAGCUGAAAGACGGUUUCGGCUGUCACUUACAGAUGGGCCCGCGGCGCAUUAGCUAGUUGGUGAGGUAACGGCUCACCAAGGCCACGAUGCGUAGCCGACCUGAGAGGGUGAUCGGCCACACUGGGACUGAGACACGGCCCAGACUCCUACGGGAGGCAGCAGUAGGGAAUCUUCCGCAAUGGACGAAAGUCUGACGGAGCAACGCCGCGUGAGCGAUGAAGGCCUUCGGGUCGUAAAGCUCUGUUGUCAGGGAAGAACAAGUACCGGAGUAACUGCCGGUACCUUGACGGUACCUGACCAGAAAGCCACGGCUAACUACGUGCCAGCCGCCGCCGUAACAC